GACGAACGCUGGCGGCGUGCCUAAUACAUGCAAGUCGAACGCAGUGGGGACGGGUGAGUUACACGGGGGUAACCUCCCAUCAGAGGGGAGAACACUUGGAAACAGGUGCUAAACCGAUACUGCUGGAUGGACACGCUGUGCAUUAGCUAGUGGGUGAGGUAACGGCUCACAAAGGCCACGAUGCAUAGCCGACCUGAGAGGGUGAUCGGCCACACUGGGCCUGGGACACGGCCCAGACUCCUACGGGAGGCAGCAUUAGGGAAUCUUCGGCAAUGGACGAAAGUGUGACCGAGCAACGCCGCGUGGGUGACGAAGUUUUUCGGAGCGUAAAACUCUGUUGUUAUGGAAGCGGGAGCUAAAGAGAAAGCCACGGCUAACUACGUGCCAGCCGCCGCGGUAAUAA
rnacentral:rRNA from 1 species